rnacentral:rRNA from 1 species
AGCGAACGCUGGCGGCAGGCCUAACACAUGCAAGUCGAACGAACUCUUCGGAGUUAGUGGCGGACGGGUGAGUAACACGUGGGAACGUGCCUUUAGGUUCGGAAUAGCUCAGGGAAACUUGUGCUAAUACCGAAUGUGCCCUUCGGGGGAAAGAUUUAUCGCCUUUAGAGCGGCCCGCGUCUGAUUAGCUAGUUGGGGAGGUAAAGGCUCACCAAGGCGACGAUCAGUAGCUGGUCUGAGGGGAUGAUCAGCCAAAUUGGGACUGAGUAACGGCCCAAACGCCUCCGGGAGGCGGCAGUGGGGAAUCUUGGGGAAUGGGGGAAAGCCUGACGCAGCCAUGCCGCGUGAAUGGUGAAGGUCUUAGGAUUGUAAAAUUCUUUCACCGGGGACGAUAAUGACGGUACCCGGAGAAGAAGCCCCGGCUAACUUCGUGCCAGCCGCCGCAGUAACAC